GGAAUUGGUUUACGGAUAUAUAUACGGAGAUAUCUUGAGAUUAUGUGAUGGAUUUCGUCUCAUCUAAAGAAGCAUGGUAAACGUGCAUUGAGAUGUCUUCCGCCGCCGUCGGAACACAUUCGGGGGCGGGUCCCCUGAGUUUGAUGUCCUGUGUUCGAGAGUCGUCUCCUUUCCAGGACUUCGAUUCUGACAACGAAAAGAACG